rnacentral:rRNA from 1 species
AGCAGCCGCGGUAAUUCCAGCUCCAAUAGCGUAUAUUAAAGUUGUUGCAGUUAAAAAGCUCGUAGUUGAAUUUCGGAGUUUGUCGGUUGGUCGGGCUUCACUGUCCGCACUGACCUGAUGGAUUCCUACCUUCUGAAUAACCAGCAUGCUAUUAAGUUAGUGCGUUGGGGAAGCAGAGCUAUUACCUUGAAAAAUUAGAGUGCUUAAAGCAGGCUUAUGCUUGAAUAGAUUAGCAUGGAAUAAUAAAAUAGGACGGCAUGGUUCUAUUUUGUUGGUUUCUAGGAUCACCGUAAUGAUUAAUAGGGAUAGUUGGGGGCAUUAGUAUUCAAUUGUCAGAGGUGAAAUUCUUGGAUUUAUUGAAGACUAACUUCUGCGAAAGCAUUUGCCAAGGAUGUUUUCAUUAAUCAAGAACGAAAGUUAGGGGAUCGAAGACGAUCAGAUACCGUCGUAGUCUUAACCAUAAACUAUGCCGACUAGGGAUCGGACGAUGUUAAUUUU